UCCCCCCUCCACACACACACGCACGCACACACGCACGCACGCACGCACACACACACACACACACUCAUUGGCACUACUUAUACUUACUGUUAUACUUGUGAGUGAAAAGAGAGGGAGGGGGACAAGAAAGUCCUUAUGCCGCAACUGUGUAGAGAAGCAGGAAGGAUUCAGGGCAAACAACAGAAAAACAUCAACAGCUGAGCUGACUAUCUCACAUUCCUUUCCUUUUCUGUGUAAUCUCCAACUAGGACUGGACAAUGACCGCAUGCAGGGGAAAAACCACUUCCCAUAUUCUGAAAAGUGCGCAAGGCUGCAUAUGAAAAUACAAAACAGUACUCAUCGUAUUACAGUUGCAGUACUCUGUCCCAAACUUUGUGAUGGAUUACUAUGAAACAUUUCGGAAAAUUAAUGAAACACACACAACAAAGAGUCGGACGAAAGCUCUGGAGCGAGGGAUUGACAGAGAGAGAAAAGAAGAAGAGAAGCGUGGCGGCGAUUUGGCAGCUGCCCGGUGCCCAGCUGCAUUGGAAAACUCCUGCCGCCCUUUCCUUUGCGGUGGUUCCCUCCCGGAGUGGUUUGUUUGGGGGACUGGUGUCCUGGGUGGGUGUCUGGCUACGCUCCCCUGCGGCAGAUCUGGCUGCUGGGGCUGUGACUGUGGCUGUACCUCCUGGGGAGCUGAGGAAUGGAGGUCUGGCCACAGUGAGUUCUCCCUCUCUCUCUCUCUCUCACAUUGUCCCCUAUAUCCCCUUAACCGGUAGCUGAACUGCCAAAACCUCCACCUUAUCAUAUACCUCUUCAUUCUGUCUCUCGCUCAUCCCCCUUGUCCAGCUCUCCACUGGGUAAAGAUAGUUUUGAAUUACCUCUUACCUGUCAGUUGUUAAGUGUUGUUGCUAAGUGCUUUUUAAGUGCAUGUUUCCCUUAAAUGAAGUGUUAAAAUGUAGUGUUAGAGCCGUUCACCUAUAGGGGCCGUGGGUCUGAAGAGUGCAUGUUUCUGUUUAGUAAAUCAGUGAGCAUUUUCUGUUUGCUCGGAGAGCAAGGCAAAAUUGAGGCCGUUGGUAAACGUAUCCACACAACCACCAGUCACACACAAAUGCACGAUGUGACAGUUUGUAUCUUUUAUAUUGUUAUUGUGCGUCAGGACUUGUACUAAAGAAUACACAACUAUGAAGGAUAGCUCAACCUUUGGAAGCAAAGCGCACUUCCUCCUAUCAUUUCCUGACUCUGUCUGUGACUUGAUUUUAUUGCUGUAGACGUUCAUAACUUGAAGGACAGAGCUAAAAUACUUAACUGAUAUAUUUACAGAGCCGAAGGUUUUGGUACUGACUCAAAUUGUUCUGAAUUGAAUGACAUGUUUCAACAAAUAAUACAUGUUUGUUUUACUGAUGAAAAAUGGUUAAAAAAAGUGAGAGAAUUUGAUGGUUCAGUUAAUUUGGAUAAACUUUGUAACUCACCCUAUCGUCUUAGUCAGCAGAUUUAAAAUGUAUUAAAUAAUUAUCAGGAUUUUGCCGUGUUCCUCCCCUGUAGUUCAGUAUUAGAUUUGUUUUUGUCAGGGUGCGUACUUGAGCUCCUACCAACUGGUGUUGAUAUGCAGCAGUCUGAAAUUGAUUAAACAGUCUUGAAUGCCAGACAACCAAUUGUCUAACACUCAGGUUUGAUUUGCUGAAAUGACAUUCGAGCAGAUGCCAGAUGUGACGAUUUCCUGAAAGGCAACCAACGCCUGCAAUUCAAAUGGUAAUUCUAAAUCAUUACAGUAUAAGUCAAGAAACCUGAUCAUGGUUGCACAUAAUGGCAUGGCAGAUGAAACAGAGACUAUUUCUGGAAUCAAUCAUUAUGAUUUUAUUUGUAUUUUUAUUAUUUUAUGUAGAUUGGAUGUGAUUUGUUAUCACGAUUGCUGAGGCUUCCUAAAAAGAGCAAUCUGAACUCUUUGGUUCUGAGGGGACCCCUGUUAUAUAUACUAGUAAAGCACUGGCAAAUACAUUUUCCAUUUCUUUUGUUGAGAAAUUGUGUGAUUAUUUAGCCACAAAAAAAGUGUUUGACGGAAAACUAAAGGAGACUAGAGAGAGAGACAGAGAGAGAGGGAGAAAGAGAGAGAGAGAAACUUUUGUACUUUACAAAUUGAAAAGUACAAUUAAAUAGAACAUAUAUUUCAAAGUAGUAAAUUUAGCAUAAAGCAAAAAUCUUUACAAUGACGAAUUCUUUUAACUCGCUGAAUUUUGUAGGAUUACUGUAGAAAUCGCCCCUUUAGAAUUCUAUAGUGUAUAGACAGUAAAUUGUAUACUUUCUUCAUUAUAGCCUCUGAGAUUGUGAGAAUACUUUCAACCAAUAGAUAAUAUUACAUGUUAUUUAUAAAAGUGGACAGAUUCAUUCAGUUGCCAAAUGUUCUUACCUAAAGUGUUAGUGCUCGGCGUUAUGGAAUCUGCAGUGCAGAAGUGUGCUGUGAAUAGAGUGUAGUAUGUCUGACUGUCCAGGAGAGGGGGAAAGGAAACAUCUUUAUUCAGUGAAUGAAAAUCUCUCCGUUGAACUGCACUUCUGAUCGUCCCAGCUCUGAGUCCCAGUACAGCAGACCAGUACCCAUUUACACAAAGCUUCUCAGUUUAAGAGUGCUGGUCUAGGAUCAGCUCCUACCUGUCCAUGUCAUUUUAUUUAUUAAAUGCUUUUUGAACACAGGCCCAGAUCUGAGAGAGGUCUGGUUGAUUUAAUGGUAGAGGGGCACUAUCAUAAAACAACUGUAUAUUUGGCCAAGCUGUUUUUUUAUGCAUUUCAUUAAAUAAGUAUGAGCAAUGUACGUGAAUGGUGAAUGGCAUAUGUCUGCCUAUUAUUAAGCCAAGAUCAUGUAGUAGCUAAUAGUGAACAUUGCAAUUUUGUUGCAUGAGCCAGUCAUGUUUAGUCAAGAUCAUGAUCUAGAAUUUAUACUUAACACAUUCUAUUUCUAUAAUAAUGAUGCAAGGAUUUUGUAAAGACAAAAGUGGUUUUAGUUUUUAAAGUUGAGAUUGUUCCAUAGGAACUACUUACUGUACUAUGUGUCUUCAUUAGAAAAUAAGCUUUAAGAAGGAAAUGCUUAUGGAUUUUUUUACCUGAUAAUUGUUUUGAUUUUUACAAUGAUUUACUAACAAAUAGCAUUACAUUUUUUGUGAUUUGGAUUUCAAUUGUACUGAAGAAUGUUUGAUGGAAAAUAUGUAUUUUUUGUAUACUAUAGUAAAUGUAAAUGUCAAAUAAACAGAAUCAAAUCAA